UAAAACUCCCGCAGGCCGUAGGGCUACCAUAUGUACGCGUGCGUUUAUCCAAUGCACGAGUGUUACUCAGAAGAGGGAAACAAAUAAUAGCAAUCGCAGAGAAGAAUUGAAAUCUAGGGAUUCGAGGAGUUGUUUGAGAGAUGUCGUAUCUGCUUCCACACUUGCACUCAGGAUGGGCUGUGGAUCAGGCAAUCUUGGCGGAGGAAGAGCGCCUCGUCGUCAUCCGAUUCGGCCACGACUGGGACGAGACUUGCAUGCAGAUGGAUGAAGUGCUCGCAUCAGUUGCUGAGACAAUUAAGAACUUUGCUGUCAUAUAUCUUGUGGACAUCACUGAGGUGCCUGAUUUCAACACAAUGUAUGAGUUGUAUGAUCCAUCCACUGUCAUGUUCUUCUUCAGAAACAAGCACAUUAUGAUUGAUCUUGGAAC
rnacentral:misc_RNA from 1 species